rnacentral:rRNA from 1 species
GAUGAACGCUGGCGGCGUGCCUAAUACAUGCAAGUCGAGCGAAGCGGGGACGGGUGAGUAACACGUGGAUAACCUCAUAUAAGACUAGGAUCACUUAGGGAAACCGGAGCCAGACCGGAUCCUUAUAGAUGGAGCCGAGCUGCAUUAGCUAGUGGGUAAGGAAACGGCUUACCAGGGCAACGAUGCAUAGCCGACCUGAGAGGUUGAGCGUCCACAUUGGACCUGAGACACGGUCAAGACUCCGACGGGAGGCAGCAGUAGGGAAUCUUCCGCAAGGGGCGAAAGCCUGACGGAGCAACGCCGCGUGAGUGAUGAAGGUCUUCGGAUCGUAAAACUCUGUUAUUAGGGAAGCGGUACCUAAUCAGAAAGCCACGGCUAACUACGUGCCAGCAGCCGCGGUAAUUC